rnacentral:rRNA from 1 species
UCUUGUAGAGGGGGGUAGAAUUCCAGGUGUAGCGGUGAAAUGCGUAGAGAUCUGGAGGAAUACCGGUGGCGAAGGCGGCCCCCUGGACAAAGACUGACGCUCAGGUGCGAAAGCGUGGGGAGCAAACAGGAUUAGAUACCCUGGUAGUCCACGCCGUAAACGAUGUCGAUUUGGAGGUUGUGCCCUUGAGGCGUGCUUCCGGAGCUAACGCGUUAAAUCGACCGCCUGGGGAGUACGGCCGCAAGGUUAAAACUCAAAUGAAUUGACGGGGGCCCGCACAAGCGGUGGAGCAUGUGGUUUAAUUCGAUGCAACGCGAAGAACCUUACCUGGUCUUGACAUCCACAGAACUUUCCAGAGAUGGAUUGGUGCCUUCGGGAACUGUGAGACAGGUGCUGCAUGGCUGUCGUCAGCUCGUGUUGUGAAAUGUUGGGUUAAGUCCCGCAACGAGCGCAACCCUUAUCCUUUGUUGCCAGCGGU